rnacentral:lncRNA from 1 species
CUAACACCUGGGGAAAGAAUCAAAGAGACUGACAGAUUUAGGAGAAGUAAUCAGGAAGGGAUGGAGUCCAGUAGAGAGCCCCAGCAGGAUGGUCUGGGAGUACAACAUGCAUUCCAUCAACCUGGAGGAAGCAGGGUCAAGCACACCUACACCCUGAGAAUAAACCAUCUUGAAGACAUGACACACAGAGAGUACAAUGCCAUGCUGCCUGUUGUGGCUGAGGAUCAGCGCGGCUUUGAGGAGAUCCCCCUCUGAGUGGAACGUGACUGCCAAAGUCACAUCAUCAUGAGACUGGCGUACACACAGACAAACAUGAAGAACUUGGUUAGAAGAACACAUAUUUUCUUCAUCUCAUCUUUACGGACUCACAAUACUUCCUUUAUAUAUCUUAUAAAGGUAACCUUCCGAGACUCCAUCCCCUUUAUUUGCUCUAGCUUUAAAGAUGAGAGGGAAUCGAAGAUUGACCAAUGCACUACAAAAUGUAGUCAUCCACUGUGUGUGCCUCAAGAGACAGGUAUAGCAUGAUGGAAAGGUUAUGUUAAAUAUGUGUUUUUAUUUCUUUACAAGAAAUUCCAUGAAGUAAAAUCAAUGAAAAACAAAUACUAUUCAGCUGAUUAUCGGGUAGCUUCAUUGUGUUGUAAUUGAAGUCUGUUUUGUUAUCUCCUCAUUGCUAGAGGGUACAACCAGUGUGGAAUCGCAGGUCGUUCCCUCUACCCUCUAUGUGAAAAACCUUCCUCUGCAGAGUUGGUGUCAAUCCCAUUUCUAUUCCAAACAGUUAAAUAAAGGCAAGGUUUUUCAUCCUAAAAAUACAAUUACAUGUCUGAAAAAAUUGGAAAUGAAACUGGCACCAACUCCGGUAGGGUGUUCAUUAGUAAAAACUAUUCAACUGGUUGCAUAUUGACUACUUCAAAGAUAGCCUACCAUUGCUAAUUCCUGUGGUGUUGCUGAUAAUGGAAGGUUGUCAACAAUACGACUUAGAAGACAAAAAAUAGACAAAGCAUUUGAUUGAAACUUUGAUUAUUAUAAUAUACUUUAUAAUUUAGAAAAUAUGUCCCCCCUUUCACUAAGAUUGUGACCAUUGGACCACCCUGUUUUUUUCUCUUGUGACAGUGUGGAUUGACAAUAAUUUAUCUGUUUAGCUUGAGAGAGUUCAUUUUGACAUUGACUAUGCCACCAUCCACUGGACACAAUGUGUGAAGUGUUAGUCUGUCAUCAGAGACAUUGAAUUCCUUGCAUUCUUCUUAUAUUUCAAUAAAGCAUAAUUCAAGACUUUUGUGUGGACCCCAGGAAGAGUAGCUGCGGCUUUCGUAAUAGCUAAUGGGGAUCCUGAUUCUGAUGGUUUCAGAAGGGACAUUCUGAUGCCUCUAUAUGCAAUACAAAAAUAUGUAAUCAGCAAACAGAAGUGUCAGUGAGGUCCAAAAGUAAAGUAUUUAUACAGUAACUAAUGUUUUGGUUCUGUACUAAACUAUCAUACCCCCCCC